rnacentral:lncRNA from 1 species
UGGAAGUCCAAGCAAAAGGGGCUUGUCUUCCCUUUACACCUUUUCAUAACAAGGAAUUGAGAUGAACAUAAAAUACAUUCUAAAUUGACUCUCAUAUCUGUAGAAGUAUUAUCUUCCACAAUCAACUUUUGAGAAUUUAAUGUUCUAAACAGGCUUGUUAGAUUUACAAAUACAUCUUCAAAUAUAGAUGAUAAAUCCCAGAAGCAAUGCUAGCAGUAUUCAUAUUCCUGAAGGCAAAAAUAGGGGAGAGUGAGAGAAGCGAGAAAGAAAAUUGAGAGACAUUGGAGUGAUGCCUGUGAAAAUUUAGUUGGCCUGAAGCUGGGGCAUGUAUUGGAAAAUAUGUGGUUUAAGCAAUCAGUAUUCUACUUCAGGGGAUGAAAUGAAACUUUUGCUCUGAAACUAAUGUGUGAAAAUGUUUCCUUAUGUCAAAUCCCACUUAGCAUGUAAAUUAGGGGAAAAAGAGAGAGAGAGAGAGAGAGAUCUGCUUACAAUGAUUUCAUUUGACUCCUGCGAUCACUAUUUAUUGCUACCUUUGAUGGAGAACUAUUGUUAUAUCUUUGCUGUCCCCCUCACUGAAGACCGUGGCUACACCUUGAUGCCUCCAUUUUUCUGUACCUGAAGACAAGAGGCAGAAUACAACUUUACACUCAUACACUUUACCUCUUCCCUCCCCUAAACAAGGACUUUCCAUACCUGGAAAGUCCGAGGCCAGAACUGGCAUCGACAGAGCUCAGAGGUAACUGGAUGCAGGCAGGUUUUUCAGCGCAGCACCACCACUGCUUGCCUCACACAAACUGGGCAGCGGUUCUGGGUGGGCUGUGAUGUCCCAGCAAGACAUUUCUCCUCUCAUUGCCUGGCGUAACCCAAAGGCUGCUCUUGGUUGUGCUACUGGCCCAUUUUAUCCCUCUAGAGGAAAGCAGUAUAGGAGGAAGGGGCCUAUUUGCCACCUCUAUCUGCCUAAACUUUCCACUGAUUGCAAAAACAAUGAACUCCAAAGUUUUAUUUUAUUUCUUUUUCAGAGAUUUUUUAUUUCCAGAGAGGUUGAAUUUUCAACAGAAACAAUUCAGUUUGACCACCAUCGUUUUCAGGCACUGUUGUGAGAUAUCAAAGGUUUCCUCUCAGUGGGCAGUUUCCAAUGGCUGUGCUCACACUGGAGGAGAUCGGUACUUGUGACCAAGCAGUCUCAGAAGAGAUGAGGCAAUAGAAAUGAAGUCUAACAUGGGAAAUCUGUGUCUAAUUGAUUUUCAGGAAAGCAAAGCUUGUUGCAGAGGUGCAAUAUACUCAAGGCAAGGCUGGAUCAGGCCCUGGCAACCUGAUCUAGCUGUGUGUGUCCCUCUUCAUUGCAGGUAAAUUGGACUUUGAAGGUCCCUUCCAACUCUAAGGAUUCUAUGCUUCUAAUUAUGUUGUAUUUUUUUUCCCUCUGAUGGAUUUUCCUCACAACCUCCCCUAAAUAAAGCCAUGUGGUGUGUUUUGGAGAUCAAUAUGUGCCAGUUUGCAACACGUCAAUCAAAUGGACUUUUGAUCAAGCACUCCAAGCCAGAGAAAGAGGAGAGAGUUACUGCUCUCACAGUAUGAGCCUCCAGAUACAGUCUGACAACUGUGAAGUGCCACUUGGAAACCUAGAGCCAUUUGUCAUUUAAACAUCUCCCAAGCGUUAUAGCCACAGCCUCAGAAGACAGAAGUAUUGGGAGCUUCUGGAAUCAGUGUAGUUUGGUAAUCCUUACAAUAGUGCUAACGAUCUUCAAAACCUCUGAAAGCUUGUACUUGCCGACCCCUUCCACGUGCCUGUGAUUCUUCUAGUGAUGCGUAUUCCAGUCGGAC